AGGGUGGGGGGGGGGGGGCAACCGGAACGCCGCGUUCCCGUUCGGUCCGCGGCUCCACCCUCAUAAUUAGGAAUAAUAUCGUUACGGACGCUUUCAUGUUCCUUUAAUUAAGGCGUGAGGCAAAGAAAAGAAGCCCCAUAAGGCACAUUAGCAACACCCGGAUACAAAAUGGCGGAACUGCAUUAGAAAAGGUCGUCGUUGCGACACGAAGGGUUAGCGACAGGCCCACGAGCGAAACGACUCUGCUGGUGAAUCCCACGAAUCCACGCUGCCCCAGUGUUGUCAGCCCCUGCAGUGUGUGUGAGAGACCGUACAGAAUGCACACCGAUGCUGAGAUACAGUUAGCAAUAAGCGCUGGACUUUUAAUCCGUCACGUGAAAGAAUCAAAGUCCCGUACCAUCUGGCUGAAAUGUUGUGAACAGUGAAUAGUUCUGUUGUGAAUAGUGAAUAGUUCUGUUGUGAAUAGUGUUUAUGUACCACUGGCUGAAGUAACCGACACCUCUGAAUCUCUCCGAUUGUUUGGACGAGCCCCUCCUGGUCCGUGAAAGUGGAUGGAGAGGUCAUGUAGGCAAAGAGGGUGUUCUGGCAGCACAUUGCCGAGCUCUUUACACCAUUAGUCGCACGAACGAAGUGCAUUCUGGGCCAGACAGGACGGUCCAACCUGUGACACAUUCCUGUCGCUGAGUACUGGAUGGAUUUAGCAGAGACGUAGUACCCACAUGACCUGCACAGGGUCACAGACUAACCUCUUACUGCUUCAUUAAACUUCAUUUUCGUUUUUAUGCACGCACAAAAAACAGCUUGAGAAUGUAAGAAAGCAGCGCAAUGCAGUCGUUGAAUUCUCAUUUUGCCAUUUUGCUUCUGGGACAUAACAAAUGUCAUCCUUGGCAGGAUGGUUUCAAUACCUUAUGUCGCGUCCUCCAUUAUAAAAAGGGGACGUUUUGUUUAACAUUUAAAGACAAUAGUCCAGCAGGCAAGUGCCAAGAGGCCAUCUCACACAUGUCAGUUUACUCCCCUAUAGAACAGCACAUUCAGGUUUACGUUCCUAUAGAACAGCACAUGCAAGUUUACUCUACUAUAGAACAGCACACAUCAAUAUACUCUCCUAUAGAACAGCACAUGUCAGUAUACUCCCCUAGAGAACAGCACUUGCAGGUUUACUCUACUAUAGAACAACACAUGCUAGUUUACUCCCCUAUAGAACAGCACAUAUCAGUAUAGUCUACUAUAGAACAGCACAUGCAGGUUUACUCUCCUAUAGAACAGCACAUGCAGGUUUACUCUACUAUAGAACAGCACACAUCAAUAUACUCUCCUAUAGAACAGCACAUGUCAGUAUACUCCCCUAUAGAACAGCCCAUGCAGGUUUACGCUCCUAUAGAACAGCACAUGUCAGUUUACGCUCCUAUAGAACAGCACAUGCUAGUUUACUCCCCUAUAGAACAGCACAUGUCAGUUUACUCCCCUAUAGAACAGCACAUGUCAGUUUACUCCCCUAUAGAACAGUACAUGCUAGUUUACUCCCCUAUAGAACAGCACCUUCCAGGCAUGUCUGAAUUAAUUUGUCAUCUCUUUUUACUAUAUAAUUUGUGUGUCACUCAAGCUCAGCAAGAAAUUCCAGAAUAAACAUAAGGUUUGACUCGUAAAAGUGAGUUUUAACUCAUAAGAGUCUGCAAAAGGUAGAAUGUAAGAAUGUAAUUUCUUUGGCCAUUCUAUCAAAGUGGAAUACAUUGUCUCUCUGGAGUUCCCUCUCUUUAGUACCCUUUAGCUGGACACUCCUUUAUUUGCCCUUGUUUUGAAAGCAGUCCACUGCUUAUGCCAUGACCGUGUUGUCAUCCGAAUCUGCCGUGCGGGUAAACAGGCAUUCGCACAUGGUGGGAAACCUUUUGGGAAAGCCAAGAGGCUUCAACGCUUUGCUACAGAGGGAUAAGCGCUAUUUAUACCUCCUGUUUGCGCAGGUCACGUGUCCCCAGCCGGUAGACAACAAAGCGUAAGUCACCACCAGAUCCAAGUUCAUUUAAUCGUCCACAUUCAUAUUCAUCAGGUUCACAGUUCCAAAGACUGAGGAGCAACCACUGACGGUCUGCCACAUAUGCAUGGAUUAUUAUUCAUAUAAGACAUGGAUAAAAUUAAAUGAAGGAAAAAAUUGUAUUCUGAGAGGUAAAUACUGAGGAAAUACUGUCCCUCUUAAGGUAGACUCCAUAUAUAGACGAUGCUGGCCGAAUGCGUUUUGGCCACGAACAUCAACUGCAAUUCACAUCCCCCUUGAGAAACGUGGGGGAUGGUAAAAGGUGUCUUUGUUCACGGCGAAGGGACCUUUUCCUGCUGAGCUAUCUGAGCUUCGCAUUGCCUUCUGGGAAGGCUCCGGUAUCCAUGUCGUGUGAAGGUGAUGUUCCUACUGAUGAGACCUCUGGCUCACCCCAAGGAGUGAACAUGGGAGUGUCGUCAGCCUCUGCUGUGUUCCUGGGACUGUUAAGCACUGUUGCGCUUUCCACUGAAUGUUCUAGAACAGAAUUACAUUUCACCUCCGAGGCUCCCGCUAGUUCAAAGGAUGUGCAUCAAAUAUGAGUAUAUGGAAAGCAUAUGGAAUAUAAAGACACCUGCUAUUGAUUUACUGAAAUAUACAUCUAUUUUUGUAACUAGCUGAAUUUACCUGUAAAUGUUUAAGUAUUUGUUUUGGAUAAGGUAGGAGAACAUUAUCUGUAGACCUAAAAAAAAAAAAAGAAGCUUGGAAACCCUGAAUUUUUCAGGUUGUAGUGAAGUUGAGUAAGCCUAGUGGCUUCUAUCAUAGUUGUGAAAUGACAGACUUUCUGAGGUAUUGUAUUAAAAUGACAGAAACAGAAAGCGAAACUAUUUAAUAAAAAAACUGAUCAAGAUGUGUCUUUUGUCUCAGUUAGGAGUUGUACUGUACUUUGUUUCAGUACAGAAGCUCAUCAUUAAAACUGGUAUUUCUCUUAAAGGGAUGGCCUUGUCAUUAAAACCGGUACUUCUCUUAAAGGGAUGGCCUUGACCUCUGUAGAAGUCUUCCUCCAUGCCCAGAUUAAAAAUAAAAAAGCUUAUACUGGGUUGUUUUUGUUUGUUUUAAUUUUAAUGGAUGAUGGAAUCUUUAUUACAUUGUGACAUUAAAAUAUACCGAUAAAACACA